rnacentral:rRNA from 1 species
GAUGAACGCUGGCGGCGUGCCUAAUACAUGCCAGUCGAGCGAACGGACGAGAAGCUUGCUUCUCUGAUGUUAGCGGCGGACGGGUGAGUAACACGUGGAUAACCUACCUAUAAGACUGGGAUAACUUCGGGAAACCGUAGCUAAUACCGGAUAAUAUUUUGAACCGCAUGGUUCAAAAGUGAAAGACGGUCUUGCUGUCACUUAUAGAUGGAUCCGCGCUGCAUUAGCUAGUUGGUAAGGUAACGGCUUACCAAGGCAACGAUGCAUAGCCGACCUGAGAGGGUGAUCGGCCACACUGGAACUGAGACACGGUCCAGACUCCUACGGGAGGCAGCAGUAGGGAAUCUUCCGCAAUGGGCGAAAGCCUGACGGAGCAACGCCGCGUGAGUGAUGAAGGUCUUCGGAUCGUAAAACUCUGUUAUUAGGGAAGAACAUAUGUGUAAGUAACUGUGCACAUCUUGACGGUACCUAAGCAGAAAGCCACGGCUAACUACGU